GUUACAGAAUAAUAUGGAAGACCUCUACAGCCUUUUGUGCUUCUUACACGUCUAGCCAUGGUGCAACUGGGCCUGGCAUUGGAUAAGAUCAGAUUUCUUUCGCUUACGGAUAAGGAUAUUUUGGGUGAAAGGCGAUACUGCAAAGCUUGAGAUCCUGGUUAGUGAUGGCUCAUUUUUUAGUAUACUAAUUAUUUUGGGUGAAGGUGAUAUUGGAAAUGACAAAGAACAAUGAUGUUUCCUAAUAUUUAUAAUGAGGAAGUAAAGCUGUGUUUUUCAAUUCCAACUUGAAAGUGAUUUAUAGGCCAUCAAUAUAAGCAAGCUGUGGAGAAGGAUUUUA